rnacentral:lncRNA from 1 species
ACCCACCCACCCCUUCUCCUUCUCACGUCUGGAAAACACGUUGAAAUUGGUCUUCUCCAUGCGGAUCUGAGAAACCUGGUUCAUGGCGGCGGCCAUGGAGUUCGAUCAUGAGCUUGGGUCAGGUGCAGGCGUCAGCUGCUACGGCAAGCAGCGUCGGUGGCGAGCUUGGGCGACGGCUGCGGCGACGGCGGCGAGCCUGGGGGACGGCCAUGGCGCAGGCGGCGGUGCAGGGUCGGCUGCGGAGGCGAGCGACGACGGCGGCAAGCUUGGGUGACGGCCAUGGUGCAGGCGGCGGUGCAGGCAUCGGCUGCGGAGGCGAGCGGAGACGAUGGCGAGCUUGGACGGUGGCGCGGCGGCGGGCUUGUGCUUCAGAUUUCUUCCUUGUUAAUUGAUGGCUAAUUGAUGUUGGGCAGAUUUUUUCUGAAAUUUUGUGCCAAUUGAUGGUUAAAAUCUUGCGCUAAUUGAUGGGUCAGGCCAUACUCGUUGCUUGCUAAUUGAUGGCUAAUUGAUUUUACGCUAAUUUCCGAUUAUACGGUUAUUAAUGCGGGAUAAUGGGUCGGGUUUGGGUCGGCGCUGACAUGGCAACUGACAUGUGGGCCCCAUCGGCUAGGGAUUGAGCAAAACCACCAACAUAAGCGGUUUUCGAGGAAGUGAUACAACUUGACAAAAAAAUAUGGUUUUUCGGACGGCUUGUGUUAACUGUGGCUCCACGACACAACUGCCCCAAAAAGUGUGACUCUAAACAAUAAGCCGUAAGACCGUCAACAAGCAGAGUUAGCGCAAAAUUCAUAAAGUAAUUGUUUUGACGAAAAUAGCCCCCAGUUAUUUAAAGUUUGGUGAAAAACAACCUCGGUAGGAAAUAAGAUUUUUUUAUAGUUUUGGGAAAUAAGAUAAAACUUAUUUUCUAUAGUUUCGGGAAAUAAGAUUUUUUUUUUGGUGAAAGUCUUUGUUCUAAUUCAUGUGUUUUUUUAUGGAAGAUGGACGAUCAGGCUCAGCGACUCAGAAGUUGCCGUAGUCAGGUCCUUUUUCUAAUAGCAUCUGAUCUUUUCUAAUAAGAGUACUAUACACUUGAUUUUAAACAUAAUGAUUUUUAUCAGAUAUUUAUUGGUCACAACUCACAAGCACGGCGGCCACACAGACGCGCUGUGCUCGGAAAAAAGCAAAAUGCACUUUCGUCUCGAGUUGGAAGGAUGACUGAAGGAGUGACUACAUGACUGAUACGGAAACUGUCGAAGAGUUGUGGUCAAAGUUG